AUUGAACGCUGGCGGCAUGCCUUACACAUGCAAGUCGAACGGCAGCACGGGAGCAAUCCUGGUGGCGAGUGGCGAACGGGUGAGUAAUACAUCGGAACGUGCCCAAUCGUGGGGGAUAACGCAGCGAAAGCUGUGCUAAUACCGCAUACGAUCUACGGAUGAAAGCAGGGGAUCGCAAGACCUUGCGCGAAUGGAGCGGCCGAUGGCAGAUUAGGUAGUUGGUGAGGUAAAGGCUCACCAAGCCGUCGAUCUGUAGCUGGUCUGAGAGGACGACCAGCCACACUGGGACUGAGACACGGCCCAGACUCCUACGGGAGGCAGCAGUGGGGAAUUUUGGACAAUGGGCGAAAGCCUGAUCCAGCCAUGCCGCGUGCAGGAUGAAGGCCUUCGGGUUGUAAACUGCUUUUGUACGGAACGGAACGGCCUUUUCUAAUAAAGAGGGCUAAUGACGGUACCGUAAGAAUAAGCACCGGCUAACUACGUGCCAGCAGCCGCGGUAAUACGUAGGGUGCAAGCGUUAAUCGGAAUUACUGGGCGUAAAGCGUGCGCAGGCGGUUAUGUAAGACAGUUGUGAAAUCCCCGGGCUCAACCUGGGAACUGCAUCUGUGACUGCAUAGCUAGAGUACGGUAGAGGGGGAUGGAAUUCCGCGUGUAGCAGUGAAAUGCGUAGAUAUGCGGAGGAACACCGAUGGCGAAGGCAAUCCCCUGGACCUGUACUGACGCUCAUGCACGAAAGCGUGGGGAGCAAACAGG
rnacentral:rRNA from 1 species